rnacentral:rRNA from 1 species
UACGUAGGGUGCAAGCGUUGUCCGGAAUUAUUGGGCGUAAAGAGCUCGUAGGCGGUUUGUCGCGUCGAAUGUGAAAACCCGGGGCUCAACUCCGGGCCUGCAUUCGAUACGGGCAGACUAGAGUUCGGGUAGGGGAGACUGGAAUUCCUGGUGUAGCGGUGAAAUGCGCAGAUAUCAGGAGGAACACCGGUGGCGAAGGCGGGUCUCUGGGCCGAUACUGACGCUGAGGAGCGAAAGCGUGGGGAGCGAACAGG